AGCGAACGCUGGCGGUAGGCUUAACACAUGCAAGUCGAGCGGACCUUUCGGGGUCAGCGGCGGACGGGUGAGUAACGCGUGGGAACGUGCCUUCCGGUUCGGAAUAACCCUGGGAAACUAGGGCUAAUACCGGAUACGCCCUUAUGGGGAAAGGUUUACUGCCGGAAGAUCGGCCCGCGUCUGAUUAGCUAGUUGGUGGGGUAACGGCCUACCAAGGCGACGAUCAGUAGCUGGUCUGAGAGGAUGAUCAGCCACACUGGGACUGAGACACGGCCCAGACUCCUACGGGAGGCAGCAGUGGGGAAUAUUGGACAAUGGGCGCAAGCCUGAUCCAGCCAUGCCGCGUGAGUGAUGAAGGCCUUAGGGUUGUAAAGCUCUUUUAUCCGGGACGAUAAUGACGGUACCGGAGGAAUAAGCCCCGGCUAACUUCGUG
rnacentral:rRNA from 1 species